rnacentral:rRNA from 1 species
UACAGAGGGUGCGAGCGUUGUCCGGAAUCACUGGGCGUAAAGGGCGCGUAGGUGGCGACCCAAGUCUGUGGUGAAAGCUCGACGCUCAACGUCGAGUCGGCCAUAGAUACUGGGUUGCUUGAGCACUGUAGAGGCAGAUGGAAUUCCGGGUGUAGCGGUGGAAUGCGUAGAGAUCCGGAAGAACACCGGUGGCGAAGGCGGUCUGCUGCGCAGUUACUGACACUGAUGCGCGACAGCGUACGGAGCAAACAGC